rnacentral:tRNA from 1 species
GCCGUGAUUGUAUAGUGGUUAGUACUCUGUGUUGUGGCCACAGCAACCUCGGUUCAAAUCUGAGCCAUGGCG